UACGAGUGCCCCAAGCGUUAUCCGGAAUCAUUGGGCGUAAAGGGUGUGUAGGCGGCGCAGUUAGUCCUCUGUCAAAUUUCCCGGCUUAACCGGGAACCUGCAGGGGAAACGGCUGUGCUAGAGGAUGCGAGAGGUGAAUGGAACUCAUGGAGUAGGGGUGAAAUCCGUUGAUAUCAUGGGGAACACCAAAAGCGAAGGCAAUUCACUGGCGCAUUCCUGACGCUGAAACACGAAAGCGUGGGUAGCGAACGGG
rnacentral:misc_RNA from 1 species